UUGUAACAGCUAGCUUCAUCCAUUUCCUUACAUCGUGGUCUUUAUAUAAACCCAAUCAUUUUACAAAUCAGAGAUUCUGCAUCAACUUGAAUUGCAAAUACGGUCUUACUGUAAUUGGGUGUGUGUUCGGCCUCCCGACCUAGCUAGUCCAAAUCACGCAAAAGGCUAUUUUACAUGUGCAAACUAAGGCUUCCUCACGUUUUUAUUCUCGUGCUUGUUCCAUUGUUCGUCCCUUUAAACGGAGGCCUGUAGGCGAGAAGAGAUAUCUUAACUAUAUUGCUCAUUCCUGUUCUCUUUCCUCCCAGCUGGCUCGUGUUCUUCGUUUUGUCUCCCGAGUAGCCCACGGAUAACAUCAAGCUACCAAGUAGUAGUAUGAACGAUAUUGGCGUGUUCAAACUUCAAACUAUAUACGGUCUUUACUGUGGUUAUUAGCUAUAGAAAGGAAAAUGAUAUUGUAUGAUGGUGGUAUUUUUGCCGAUUGUCUGUGGUUCUUCGCCAGCUACUUCUUCCUAUCCCGUUUCUGACCUGCAAUCAUAUAAGCAAAGACUGUAGUUCGAUAAGUAACUUGAACCAAUCUGUCAGUAGCUCAUAAUUUUUUGGUACCUAAUUAAAUCUCUGCACUAACAGUCCAACACCAUUCCUCUCAAGAAAAGGAAAUGCAUUGUUGCAGACUUGCAGUAAAUGUCCAAUGUAUAAAUUCUGUCUGCAACAUUGUAAACCACUCAAUUCAAUUUUUCCGCAAAAAAAAAAAAAAAACCACUCAAUUCAAUCUUGAGUCGGGAGAAACUGAUAAAAGACCUAUAUGCACGGACUUUUAGUUCUUGCUGAAGAAACAUGAGCUAUAUACACUUUCAUGCUGGAAAAAGCUUAUAACAUUGACACUUCCGAUGUUCAUAGGCUCUACGUACGUACGUAUUGUAUGUAUGUCUGCACUGCAUUAUUGAUAUGCACACGUACGCUUUUGCUGUUUGGUGGAGCAGCCGCAGACGAGCAGGGCGAUGCAGGCCACGAUGAUGUAGAGCUUCCCCUUCUGCUGCUGCGCCGCGCUCUGCACCUUCUGCAGCUUCUUCUUCCUCGGGUUCUCCUUCUCCGGCUUCUUCCCCAUGCCCAGCUAGCUGACGAGGCACGUGUCUAACACUACUUCCGUUUAGCUGCAAGUACCACGCAUCAUCCAU
rnacentral:lncRNA from 1 species